rnacentral:rRNA from 1 species
AUACGGAGGAUCCGAGCGUUAUCCGGAUUCACUGGGUUUAAAGGGAGCGUAGGUGGAUUGUUAAGUCAGUUGUGAAAGUUUGCGGCUCAACCGUAAAAUUGCAGUUGAAACUGGCAGUCUUGAGUACAGUAGAGGUGGGCGGAAUUCGUGGUGUAGCGGUGGAAUGCUUAGAUAUCACGAAGAACACCGAUUGCGAAGGCAGCUCACUAGACUGUUACUGACACUAAUGCUCGAAAGUGUGGGUAUCAAACAGGAUUAGAUACCCUGGUAGUCCACACAGUAAACGAUGAAUACUCGGUGUUUGCGAUAUACAGUAAGCGGGCAAGCGAAAGCAUUAAGUAUUCCACCUGGGGAGUACGCCGGCAACGGUGAAACUCAAAUGAAUUGGCGGGG